rnacentral:rRNA from 1 species
UACGAAGGGGGCGAGCGUUGUUCGGAUUUACUGGGCGUAAAGGGCGCGUAGGCGGCGGGUCAAGUCGAGUGUGAAAGCCCCGGGCUCAACCUGGGAAUUGUGCUCGAGACUGGUCUGCUUGAGUUCGGGAGAGGAGAGUGGAAUUCCCAGUGUAGAGGUGAAAUUCGUAGAUAUUGGGAAGAACACCGGUGGCGAAGGCGGCUCUCUGGACCGAGACUGACGCUGAGGCGCGAAAAGCGUGGGGGAGCAAACAGG